AUGUGAUGUGGACAAUCUCACAAGUAACCCUUAAACCUCUCCCAUGCCUGUGGUAGAGAUUCAGAGUCUUUCUGAGUGAAGGUGGAAAUUUUUCCUCUCAACUC